UGUAAGAAAUUAAUUGCGAGAUCAGGACUAAUUGGUUGAAUGUAUAUUACUUCCAGAAAUGGAUUGGUCGAGGAGGACCAGUUUGUUGGCCUCCGUGGCCAGCAGACCAUACGACAUUAGAUUGUUAUCUGCUGGUAACUGUAAAGGAAAAACUCGGUAUCGUGCUUGUAUCGAUAAAGGUGGACAACAUUUUUAAACGUAAAAGUGCUGUGACGUUUAUAGUACUUCGUGUUGCCCUCCUACAUAUAUUUUUUUUAAACGUUCUAAACGUAAUCGAUUAUCAAGAAAGUCCUUGAAGCACAUUUAUCUAACAUUUUCGUCUCCCUGUUAAAAGUACGUAAUUUUAAUACAUCUAUGAAAUAUUCAUACCAGAUAGUUAGUAUCUAUGAAAAAAUUCCUAAAUAUCGUCAUUCGUUCAGUCUGAAAGGUGAUCUUUUUUUUUUUUUUUAAAUAAUUCAGAAUCGAAUUAUGUUUUGUGCGAAAAAAAGAAUUCAUCGCGCCAGGCGGCACUCGGAGCCGCCUUCUCGAUUAAAUAACGUCAUCCUUGGGAUUCUUUCGCAAUAUAAGCGGCAAGUAGGAAAGGAGUUUAUCUAGUUUAUACACGGUAUCUCGAGGAUGGUUAUCAGAUAACACGAUUCGUGUUUGUGCUUGCAAUGUGAUGCACGUUUUCGACGACGUGAAAUGAAAAAAAUCGAGGCGAAAGAGACGUUGGCGUAACGCUGCGAUUACGCGGACGCAUAUCGUAUAUAAUAACAAUAGUUAUUAUUUACUAAUGUAGAAUCUUCAUACGAUUUUAACAUAAGCUUGGUCGCGGACACGGUGGAUCAAUUUACGAAGUGCAAUGUUUACUCCGUGAAUCGUUGUAACCGAGCGCGCAACUAUCAAAGCUAAUACGCUGGGCGGUGAACGACGCCCGUGAAUCCGAAGCUUAAUCCGACGUGACAAGUUUUACCGAGGGGCCUCGCUUAAUAACGGAUCAAAUUCGAUUCAACUGUCCUUACGGAUUCUAUUCAAGCUCCGCUUGUCUUCCGAUGGGAAGGUGGAGGGGGCUCUUCUGAUAAUAAAAAUCGAUUUCGUGUUUGGUAUGAUUCGAUAUCACGUUUGGUGGUUGUGGUACGGCAUAACCCUGGAAAUAGCAUGGAAAAGUUAGUAAAUAACCAAUACUGUUUUACUUCGCAUUAUGCCAACUGAUUGCUAAUUACGAGUUGUCUACAUGUACAACGCUUCGUUGCGAAAUACUCUGCGGUCUAGUCACGAGGGCAUAAUCAACCGAGAUCAGGAGCCUUUCGACCAUCGCGCCCGUCUUCUAUCGUCUUAGCAAAGUUUCUUCCUUUCGUGAUAACUGCAAAUUAAACCAUGAUUGAUGUCGGAAGGACAAGUAGAUUCUUCUAACGCGGGAGUGUCCACGAUUCGUUCAAUUGCACGUUAAAGGUCCAAGGAGGAUCACAAAAGAUGUAAAGAGAACAACUGACGCGAAGAGAGACAAUUAUGUAAGCAUAAAUCCGACUGCAAAGAGGCUCGUUUUACUUUUACCUUGUAACAGUUAUUCAUCACAAGCGAGCACGUACGUUCAGAAAUUUUGUAGGUUGUGGAAAGAAUCGAAUACGUCCACAAUGAGUCUGGAUCCAUCGCAACGCUUCGCUAUACUAAUAGAAAG